rnacentral:tRNA from 1 species
GGAGGGUUCGCCUAAUGGUAUGGCAUCGGUCUUGAAAACCGACGGGAGCAAUCCCUUGCAGGUUCGAGUCCUGCACCCUCCG